GCUGGGUACAGUGGUGCACACCUGUAAUCCCAGCAACUCGGAGGCUGAGGCAGGAGAAUUGCAAGUUCGAGGCCAGUCUUGGCAACUUAGCGAGACCCUCAGCAACACAGUGAGAUCCUGUCUCAA
rnacentral:sRNA from 1 species